rnacentral:lncRNA from 1 species
CUGAGUAGCUGGGAUUACAUGCACUUGCCACUACACCCGGGUAGUAUUUGUAUUUUAAGUAGAGGUGGGGUUUCAGCAUCUUGGCCACGCUGGCCUUGAACUUCAGACCUCGAUCCACUCGUCUCCACCACCCAAAGUGCUGAGAUCACAGGCAAGAGCCACGACGCCCGGUUUGGCAUGUGUUUUAAUAAUACAAAGUAGGGCGGGGCACAGUGGCUCACAACUGUGGGUCCUCAUUUGCAUGAGCUAAGUUUUUCAUAGCAAUCAAAAGCAAAGCAAGCCCAGGUGUUCGCCAUUCUCCUUAAUGGCAUCAAGCCCAGGGUUUGAGAGCCAUUUUCAUUGGCCCCAGAUGACCUGUUCAUACCUGUCUUCAUUGUGCCCAGCUCGGGGCUUCAAAGCUGGCUUCAUCCAGGCCUGCAAAGGUGUUCACAGUGGUCCUCAUCUAAGCCAGCCAAGGUGUUCUCUUACCAUCCACACGAUAGCCAGCCCAGAUGUCCCUAGCCGUCCUCAUCGAGGCCAGCCAGUUUGUUCACACUCGUGCUUAUUGGGGCCAGCCACCUUCAUAGAGGUCAUCUCAGGUAUUUACAGGCAUCCUCACUGGGCCCAGCCCAUGUGUCCACAGCUGUCCUCAGUGGGCAUAGCCCGGGUGUUCAUAGUUUUCCUCACUGGACUUAAUCCAGGUGUUCUGAGCAAUUCACAUGGUCCCAGGCCAGGUGUUGACAGGUGUCCUCAAUGGGGAUGGCCCAGAUGUUCACCGUUGUCUUAAUUAGGCCAAGUGCAGAUGCCCAUAGCUGCCUCACAGGGCUCAGCCAAAAGGAACAAGGCUGUUCUCCUGAGCCCACAUCACGUAUUUAUAGCUUUCCACAUUGGGGUCAGCCCAGGUGUUGGUAGCCAUGCAUUCUGGGCCAAUCCGUUAUUCCAAGCUGUUUCCUUGGGCCCAGCCCAGGUGUCCACAGCCAUCCUCAUUGGUCCAGCACAGGUGUUCAGAGCUAUCCUCCUUGGCCCCAGGCCAGAUGUUGACACUCGAUCUGACUGGGCCCAGACCGGGUAUGCAAAGCUGUCUUAACUGGGAGCAGCCCAUGCUUUCACAGCGGUCUUCACUGGUGUCAGCCAGGUUUCUCAGAACUGUCACUUGGCCGAACCUUGGUGUACAUUGCCAUCCCCAUGGAGCACAGCUCAGGUAUCCAUAGCCAUCCUCACUGGGGCCAGCUGAGGUGUUCCCAGCCAUCCUCAUUUGUCUCAGUGCAGGGGUUCACAGCUGUCCUCACUGGCUGAGCCUAGUUGUUCCUUGCAAUCAUUACUUGAGCAAGACCAGGUGUUCAUGGCUGUUCUAAUUGGGGGCGAGCCCAGGAGUUAAUGGUGCUCCUCAUCUGGGCCAGCCCAGGUAUUCACAGCCAUCCUCAUCAUGAUCAGUUUCAGUGUUCAAAGCUGUCCUCCUGAGGCCAGCCUGGUUGUUCGCUGCUGCUUUUACUGGGCCCAGCCCAGGUUUUCCCAGCUUCCCUCACUGGGGCUAGCGCAGGUGUUCACAGCUUUCCUCAUUGGGCCCAGGCCAUGGGUUCAUAGCCAUCUUCAUCAGGCAAAGCCAAGGUGUUCACAGCCAUUUUUUCCGGGUCCAGCCGAAGUCGCCCUCACUUGGGCCCAGCCCAGGCGUUAAUAGUCAUCAUCAGUGGGAUUAGCCCAGUUGUUCACAGCAUCUUUCUAGGGCUGAGUUUAGGUGUCAAGAGCCAUUCAUCUUGGGCCCAGCCAGCUGUUCAUAGGCAUCCUCAUGGGGACAGGCCCAAGUGCUCACAGUGGCUCUCACUGAAACCAGGGCAGGUGUUUUUGGCUGUCUUCAUUGGGCCCAGCCUAGACAUUCAUAGCUGUGCUCAAGGCGACCAGCCACGAUGUUAACAGCUGUCUUCAGGGCAAUCGUCCCCGGUGCCACAGCUGUCCUUAUUGGCUUAGCCCAAGUGUUCUCAGCUGUUCUCGUUGGACCCAGGCCAGGUGUUCACAGCUGUCCUCACUGGCCCAGCCCAGGUUUCCAUAGCCACCCUCACUGGGUCCAGCUCAGGGCUUCACAGCUGUUUACUCUGGGCCGAGUCCAAACACUCCAAGCUGUCCUUAGAGGGCCCAGCCAAGGCGUUCACAGCUAUCCUCAUUGGUAGCUAGCCCAGGUGUUAGUCCUUGUCCUCAGUGGGCCAGACCAGUGUUCACAGACAUCCUUAUUGGGCCAGCCCAGGAGUUCCAUGCUGACCUCGCUGGGCCCUGCCUAGCCCUUCAUAGCUGUCCUCACUGGGCCCAGGCCAGGUGUUUGCAGCCAUCCCCAUCAAGGUCAGCCCAGGGGUUCACAGCCUUCCUUGUUUGUAUGAACUCAGUUUAUUAUAGCAACAGUUUUUGAUGGCUGUCAAUAUCAAGGCAAGCCCAGGAGUUCACGCUACCCCUCAGUAACAUCAAGCCCAGGGUUAAGAGCCAUUUUCACUGGCCCCAGGCCACCUGUUCAUAGCUGUCUUCAUUGUUUCCAGCCCAGGGCUUCCCAGCUGUCUUCAUCCAGGCCUGCGCCGGUGUUCACAGUGGUCCUCAUCUAAGCCAGCCAAGAAGAUCUCUGUCAUCCACGUGACAGCCAGCCCAGAUGUCCCUAGCCGUCCUCAUCAAGGCCAGCCAGUUUGCUUACACGUGUGCUAAUUGGAGCCAGCCACCCUCAUAGAGGCCAUCCCAGGGGCUGGGCACAGUGGCUCACGCCUGUAAUACCAACACUUUUGGAGGCCGAGGCAGGUGGAUCACUUGGUCAAGAGAUCGACACCAUCCUGGAUAACACGGUGAAACCCUGUCUCUACUAAAAAUACAAAAAAUUAGCUGGGCACAGUGGCGGGCGCCUGUAGUCCCAGCUACUCGGGAGGCUGAGGCAGGAGAAUGGCGUGAACCUGGGAGGCAGAGGUUGCAGUGAGCCGAGAUCGUGCCGCUGCACUCCAGCCUGGGUGACA